rnacentral:rRNA from 1 species
AGAGUUUGAUCCUGGCUCAGAUUGAACGCUGGCGGCAGGCCUAACACAUGCAAGUCGAGCGGUAGAGAGAAGCUUGCUUCUCUUGAGAGCGGCGGACGGGUGAGUAAUGCCUAGGAAUCUGCCUGGUAGUGGGGGAUAACGUUCGGAAACGGACGCUAAUACCGCAUACGUCCUACGGGAGAAAGCAGGGGACCUUCGGGCCUUGCGCUAUCAGAUGAGCCUAGGUCGGAUUAGCUAGUUGGUGAGGUAAUGGCUCACCAAGGCGACGAUCCGUAACUGGUCUGAGAGGAUGAUCAGUCACACUGGAACUGAGACACGGUCCAGACUCCUACGGGAGGCAGCAGUGGGGAAUAUUGGACAAUGGGCGAAAGCCUGAUCCAGCCAUGCCGCGUGUGUGAAGAAGGCCUUCGGAUUGUAAAGCACUUUAAGUUGGGAGGAAGGGCAGUAAAUUAAUACUUUGCUGUUUUGACGUUACCGACAGAAUAAGCACCGGCUAACUCUGUGCCAGCAGCCGCGGUAAUACAGAGGGUGCAAGCGUUAAUCGGAAUUACUGGGCGUAAAGCGCGCGUAGGUGGUUUGUUAAGUUGGAUGUGAAAUCCCCGGGCUCAACCUGGGAACUGCAUUCAAAACUGACUGACUAGAGUAUGGUAGAGGGUGGUGGAAUUUCCUGUGUAGCGGUGAAAUGCGUAGAUAUAGGAAGGAACACCAGUGGCGAAGGCGACCACCUGGACUAAUACUGACACUGAGGUGCGAAAGCGUGGGGAGCAAACAGGGUUAGAUACCCUGGUAGUCCACGCCGUAAACGAUGUCAACUAGCCGUUGGAAGCCUUGAGCUUUUAGUGGCGCAGCUAACGCAUUAAGUUGACCGCCUGGGGAGUACGGCCGCAAGGUUAAAACUCAAAUGAAUUGACGGGGGCCCGCACAAGCGGUGGAGCAUGUGGUUUAAUUCGAAGCAACGCGGAGAACCUUACCAGGCCUUGACAUCCAAUGAACUUUCUAGAGAUAGAUUGGUGCCUUCGGGAACAUUGAGACAGGUGCUGCAUGGCUGUCGUCAGCUCGUGUCGUGAGAUGUUGGGUUAAGUCCCGUAACGAGCGCAACCCUUGUCCUUAGUUACCAGCACGUCAUGGUGGGCACUCUAAGGAGACUGCCGGUGACAAACCGGAGGAAGGCGGGGAUGACGUCAAGUCAUCAUGGCCCUUACGGCCUGGGCUACACACGUGCUACAAUGGUCGGUACAGAGGGUUGCCAAGCCGCGAGGUGGAGCUAAUCCCACAAAACCGAUCGUAGUCCGGAUCGCAGUCUGCAACUCGACUGCGUGAAGUCGGAAUCGCUAGUAAUCGCGAAUCAGAAUGUCGCGGUGAAUACGUUCCCGGGCCUUGACUCAACGCCCGUC